AUGACUGGGAAGACCCCUUGUGAUGUAAGGAUAAAAAAUAAGCAUGCACUACAACACAAUAUCAGGCCUCGCCCAUUGUUUGAUAAAGAUUUUAUGGUGGUGAGGAGAGUAUCUAUGGAGCACCUUGACCAACAUGUUCAGUCCCUUGAGAAGGCAGAGUCACCUAUUAUAGAUCAAUGGAGACCGGUCCUCUAUAAUUAUUUAAAUGAUGUUGUUGCUGCUCAAUUAGUGAAGUCUAAAGAGCUACGGCGAGGUAAUGUACUGAAACAGAAUGCCAUAGCUGGGUCCUCCUCCGCUCAUCCGCUAUUAGUGGAUAAUGAUAUCUCAGACACUGCCCCAUCCGUAGCGGAAAGAGACGCAGACAAUCUACACCGCCUCAUGUGGAACAGGAAGAAAGGCUGCCCUUGA
rnacentral:rRNA from 1 species